AUCAUUACAGCGCCAGUACCAGGUCUUACAAGAACUCUGGGAAAUUUACAGUUUACGAAAUAUGGAGUGCUGAAUCAGAUCAAAUGAUAUUUUUCAAGAAGUCCAUCAACAAAAUCUUCUCCAAUGAUACCAACAGCAUGUUGAAAACAACCCCUGUUGUUAAAACCAUGAACAUACCAGCUUCCUGGUGGCAAAAAUGCAGCUAAAUUUACCAACCAAAGAAUUACUACUACUACUACUACUAUUACUACUACUACUACUACUAUUAAUACUACUACAACAACCAUUACUAUUACUUUACUAUUAUUACUGCUGAUUACGCUAUCGUCCUAUAACCACCACCACCACCACCACCAUCACGCUACUGACUAUACCACUAUGACGACGACAACCUAUUUGGGUCUUAUGUUUUCCCUCCACCACCACCACCACCACCACCAUUACUACAACACCUCGACUAUCACCAAUGCCACCACCAAGAAAAACAUCUGUCACGUUUGUGUUUCCUUUCAAUUCGUUUUAACGAACUGUUUUCUAAUUAACAAAGACUUGUUUAGCUGUG
rnacentral:lncRNA from 1 species